rnacentral:rRNA from 1 species
CCUACGGGGGGCAGCAGUGAGGAAUAUUGGUCAAUGGGCGCAAGCCUGAACCAGCCAAGUCGCGUGAGGGAUGACGGUCCUAUGGAUUGUAAACCUCUUUUGUCGGGGAGCAAGGCCCGCCACGUGUGGCGGGAAGGAGAGUACCCGAAGAAAAAGCAUCGGCUAACUCCGUGCCAGCAGCCGCGGUAAUACGGAGGAUGCGAGCGUUAUCCGGAUUUAUUGGGUUUAAAGGGUGCGUAGGCGGAAGGUUAAGUCAGCGGUAAAAUGUCGGUGCCCAACACCGGCCUGCCGUUGAAACUGGUCUUCUUGAGUGAGCGAGAAGUAUGCGGAAUGUGUGGUGUAGCGGUGAAAUGCAUAGAUAUCACGCAGAACUCCGAUUGCGAAGGCAGCAUACCGGCGCUCAACUGACGCUGAGGCACGAAAGCGUGGGGAUCGAACAGGAUUAGAUACCCUAGUAGUC